UGAUAAAACCACGACGCUGUCUGUAGUGC
rnacentral:piRNA from 1 species